rnacentral:rRNA from 1 species
GGAAGGCUGCGCAGCUUACCAUGCAGUCGAGCGGUAACAGGGGUAGCUUGCUACCCGCUGACGAGCGGCGGACGGGUGAGUAAUGCAUAGGAAACUGCCCAGUAGUGGGGGAUAGCCCGGGGAAACCCGGAUUAAUACCGCAUACGUCCUUCGGGAGAAAGCAGGGGAUCUUCGGACCUUGCGCUAUUGGAUGUGCCUAUGUCGGAUUAGCUGGUUGGUGAGGUAAUGGCUCACCAAGGCGACGAUCCGUAGCUGGUCUGAGAGGAUGAUCAGCCACAUCGGGACUGAGACACGGCCCGAACUCCUACGGGAGGCAGCAGUGGGGAAUAUUGGACAAUGGGGGCAACCCUGAUCCAGCCAUGCCGCGUGUGUGAAGAAGGCUUUCGGGUUGUAAAGCACUUUCAGUGAGGAGGAAAAGUUAGUCCUUAAUACGGGCUAGCCUUGACGUUACUCACAGAAGAAGCACCGGCUAACUCCGUGCCAGCAGCCGCGGUAAUACGGAGGGUGCAAGCGUUAAUCGGAAUUACUGGGCGUAAAGCGCGCGUAGGUGGUUUGAUAAGCGAGAUGUGAAAGCCCCGGGCUUAACCUGGGAACGGCAUUUCGAACUGUCAGGCUAGAGUGUGGUAGAGGGUAGUGGAAUUUCCUGUGUAGCGGUGAAAUGCGUAGAUAUAGGAAGGAACACCAGUGGCGAAGGCGGCUACCUGGACCAACACUGACACUGAGGUGCGAAAGCGUGGGGAGCAAACAGGAUUAGAUACCCUUGGUAGUCA